GACGAACGCUGGCGGCGUGCCUAAUACAUGCAAGUCGAGCGGACUUGAAGGAGUGCUUGCACUCCUGAGAGUUAGCGGCGGACGGGUGAGUAACACGUAGGCAACCUGCCCUCAAGACUGGGAUAACUACCGGAAACGGUAGCUAAUACCGGAUAAUUUAUUACAUAGCAUUAUGUGAUAAUGAAAGACGGAGCAAUCUGUCACUUGGGGAUGGGCCUGCGGCGCAUUAGCUAGUUGGUGGGGUAACGGCCCACCAAGGCGACGAUGCGUAGCCGACCUGAGAGGGUGAACGGCCACACUGGGACUGAGACACGGCCCAGACUCCUACGGGAGGCAGCAGUAGGGAAUCUUCCGCAAAGGGCGAAAGCCUGACGGAGCAACGCCGCGUGAGUGAUGAAGGUUUUCGGAUCGUAAAGCUCUGUUGCCAAGGAAGAACGUCUCAUAGAGUAACUGCUAUGAGAGUGACGGUACUUGAGAAGAAAGCCCCGGCUAACUACGUG
rnacentral:rRNA from 1 species